rnacentral:rRNA from 1 species
UGGGGAAUAUUGGACAAUGGGCGCAAGCCUGAUCCAGCAAUGCCGCGUGGGUGAAGAAGGUCUUCGGAUUGUAAAGCCCUUUCGGCGGGGACGAUGAUGACGGUACCCGCAGAAGAAGCCCCGGCUAACUUCGUGCCAGCAGCCGCGGUAAUACGAAGGGGGCUAGCGUUGCUCGGAAUGACUGGGCGUAAAGGGCGCGUAGGCGGCUGUUACAGUCAGGCGUGAAAUUCCUGGGCUCAACCUGGGGACUGCGUUUGAUACGUGAUGGCUAGAGUGCGGAAGAGGGUCAUGGAAUUCCCAGUGUAGAGGUGAAAUUCGUAGAUAUUGGGAAGAACACCGGUGGCGAAGGCGGCGACCUGGUCCGUGACUGACGCUGAGGCGCGAAAGCGUGGGGAGCAAACA